GAUGAACGCUGGCGGCGUGCCUAACACAUGCAAGUCGAACGGAGAUUACGGACGGAAGUUUUCCGAUGGAAGCCUGUAAUUCUUAGUGGCGGACGGGUGAGUAACGCGUGGGCAACCUGCCUUAUACAGGGGGAUAGCAGCUGGUAACGGCUGGUAAGACCGCAUAAGUCGGUUAAAUCGCAUGAUUUGAUCGGGAAAUGAGCAAUCAGGUAUAGGAUGGGCCGGAGUCCGAUUAGCAAGUUGGCAGGGUAAAAGCCUACCAAAGCGACGAUCGGUAGACGGGCUGAGAGGUCGGGCGGACACAUUGAGGCGGGGACGCGGCCGGGAAUCCUACGGAAGGCGGGAGAGGGGGAUAUAGCAAAAUGGAGGGAACGCUGAAGCAGCGACGCCGGGUAAGUGAAGAAGUAUGGCAGUAAGUAAAGCUCUAUCAGCAGGGAAGAUGAUGACGGUACCUGACUAAGAAGCCCCGGCUAACUACGUG
rnacentral:rRNA from 1 species